rnacentral:lncRNA from 1 species
GUCUUCAUAGGAGUGGUAGUAACCAGUUCUAUUGUAUUUUUUUUCGUAAUUCAAACAAAGUUUGCCUAUCCUUGAAGACUCAAACUUGUUGUGUACAUGCACUUGAAAGAAGGAGUAAACAUGUGGUGCACGAUAAAAAGACGAUUUAAAUGCAAGGGUAUAAUUUUUGGUAUUAUUACGUUCAAUAUUCAUUGGUCCUUUUUCAUCUGAUUCUGUUUGGAACAAGGUAAAAUCUGUCAAGUUCAAAGAGAAAAUGCCAUACGAUGUGUUCAGUACUUCUGCAGAGUUAGCACCGAUUACUACAAUGCUUGUGUUUACUUCUUUUACAGAGAUCAUACUGUAGGUCGGAGGGUAUCGUAUAUUGACUGACAUAUUGCUGCUUUCGGUUCCAGUCAUCAGUAAAUUUAUAUCCAGUUUCGAACAUUGACUAAUGUUAAUAUUAUUUUGGUUACACUGUAUAAUUUCUUGAUUUUUCUCAUCAUAUAGCAGUAACCAAACGUUGGAAUUGUUAAUUGCAAACGACUUUUCCGUCAUGUUUUCUCUAUGAUAAGACGCAAUACCGCCAACACCUCCUACAUAUAUCGUUUCAUUUGAAACGAUCAUUUUCCGUAAUGUAGAAAUCUUAGUUUCUGUGUAGGUUUUGCUCAACGUAAUUGUUACUGCAAUGGCGAUUAUGUACAGUAUUAAACUAAAUGAUGAUUU